UACAACAGGGCUGUCUUUUCUUUCCCAAAGAACCCCAAUUUGCUGAAAGAUGGAUUACCCAGUGAUCUUCAUUGUCUUGUGUGGGCUCUUUAGUUGUGGCACGUGGGACCUAGUUUCCCAAGGAGGGAUCACACUUGUGCCGCCUGCCUUGGGAGCUUGGAGUCUUAACCACUGGACCACCAGGCUUCCCUGGUGGUUCAGUUGGUAAAGAAUCUACCUGUAAUGCAAGAGACCCAGGUUCAACCCCUGGCUCAGGAUGAUCCCCUGGAGAAGCAAAUGGCAACCCACUCCAGUAUCCUUGCCUGGAGAAUUCCAUGA